UACGGAGGAUGCGAGCGUUAUCCGGAUUUAUUGGGUUUAAAGGGUGCGCAGGCGGUCUGUUAAGUCAGCGGUCAAAGCCCGGGGCCCAACCCCGGGAGUGCAUUUGAAACUGUCUGGCUAGAGUGCAGGAGAGGUAAGUGGAAUUCCUAGUGUAGCGGUGAAAUGCAUAGAUAUUAGGAGGAACACCAGUGGCGAAGGCGGCUUACUGGACUGUAACUGACACUGAGGCUCGAAAGCGUGGGGAGCAAACAGG
rnacentral:rRNA from 1 species